GUUACCCGCAGAAGAAGCACCGGCUAACUCCGUGCCAGCAGCCGCGGUAAUACGGAGGGUGCAAGCGUUAAUCGGAAUUACUGGGCGUAAAGCGCACGCAGGCGGUCUGUCAAGUCGGAUGUGAAAUCCCCGGGCUUAACCUGGGAACUGCAUUCGAAACUGGCAGGCUAGAGUCUUGUAGAGGGGGGUAGAAUUCCAGGUGUAGCGGUGAAAUGCGUAGAGAUCUGGAGGAAUACCGGUGGCGAAGGCGGCCCCCUGGACAAAGACUGACGC
rnacentral:rRNA from 1 species